rnacentral:lncRNA from 1 species
GCGAGCGGUAAGAGUGCGGCGGGACUUGGAAAUCGAAUCUGUGCUCUGUGAGAGAUCCUAGGAAAGGAAACUGGGAGCCCGGGAGAACUAAAAUUCCCAAUUAAAAGUGAAUUUAAGUGA